rnacentral:rRNA from 1 species
UUUAUGGAGAGUUUGAUCCUGGCUCAGAGUGAACGCUGGCGGCGUGCCUAAUACAUGCAAGUCGAACGAUGAAGCUUCUAGCUUGCUAGAAGUGGAUUAGUGGCGCACGGGUGAGUAACGCAUAGGUCAUGUGCCUCUUAGUUUGGGAUAGCCAUUGGAAACGAUGAUUAAUACCAGAUACUCCCUACGGGGGAAAGAUUUAUCGCUAAGAGAUCAGCCUAUGUCCUAUCAGCUUGUUGGUAAGGUAAUGGCUUACCAAGGCUAUGACGGGUAUCCGGCCUGAGAGGGUGAACGGACACACUGGAACUGAGACACGGUCCAGACUCCUACGGGAGGCAGCAGUAGGGAAUAUUGCUCAAUGGGGGAAACCCUGAAGCAGCAACGCCGCGUGGAGGAUGAAGGUUUUAGGAUUGUAAACUCCUUUUGUUAGAGAAGAUAAUGACGGUAUCUAACGAAUAAGCACCGGCUAACUCCGUGCCAGCAGCCGCGGUAAUACGGAGGGUGCAAGCGUUACUCGGAAUCACUGGGCGUAAAGAGCGCGUAGGCGGGAUAGUCAGUCAGGUGUGAAAUCCUAUGGCUUAACCAUAGAACUGCAUUUGAAACUACUAUUCUAGAGUGUGGGAGAGGUAGGUGGAAUUCUUGGUGUAGGGGUAAAAUCCGUAGAGAUCAAGAGGAAUACUCAUUGCGAAGGCGACCUGCUGGAACAUUACUGACGCUGAUUGCGCGAAAGCGUGGGGAGCAAACAGGAUUAGAUACCCUGGUAGUCCACGCCCUAAACGAUGGAUGCUAGUUGUUGGAGGGCUUAGUCUCUCCAGUAAUGCAGCUAACGCAUUAAGCAUCCCGCCUGGGGAGUACGGUCGCAAGAUUAAAACUCAAAGGAAUAGACGGGGACCCGCACAAGCGGUGGAGCAUGUGGUUUAAUUCGAAGAUACACGAAGAACCUUACCUAGGCUUGACAUUGAGAGAAUCCGCUAGAAAUAGUGGAGUGUCUAGCUUGCUAGACCUUGAAAACAGGUGCUGCACGGCUGUCGUCAGCUCGUGUCGUGAGAUGUUGGGUUAAGUCCCGCAACGAGCGCAACCCUCUUUCUUAGUUGCUAACAGGUCAUGCUGAGAACUCUAAGGAUACUGCCUCCGUAAGGAGGAGGAAGGUGGGGACGACGUCAAGUCAUCAUGGCCCUUACGCCUAGGGCUACACACGUGCUACAAUGGGGUGCACAAAGAGAAGCAAUACUGCGAAGUGGAGCCAAUCUUCAAAACGCCUCUCAGUUCGGAUUGUAGGCUGCAACUCGCCUGCAUGAAGCUGGAAUCGCUAGUAAUCGCAAAUCAGCCAUGUUGCGGUGAAUACGUUCCCGGGUCUUGUACUCACCGCCCGUCACACCAUGGGAGUUGUGUUUGCCUUAAGUCAGGAUGCUAAACUAGCUACUGCCCACGGCACACACAGCGACUGGGGUGAAGUCGUAACAAGGUAACCGUAGGUGAACCUGCGGUUGGAUCACCUCCUUUCUA